GUUAUAAGGCUGAAAAGAUUAGGCUCUAAUACCAUAUGAGAAGUCAAGAGCAACCUCAAACCAUAAUUAUAAAUAAAUAAUAACUAAGUCUUAAUUUUAAAUUAAUCAUCUGAACAGUUUUUCAUUAUUCAACUCUGUUAAAUAUCAAAUCUUCACUAAUAAUUAAAACUUGUAAAUUCUUUCAUACCACAAAUUAUUGAGAUUAGAAAAUCUAAAAAGCUAUGAUGAAAUUUUAAGAGGUUAUUCUAACAAUCACAUUGCUCGCUAGUUGUUGCUGCCAGCAGGUUCAAUAUCAGUCUUUGUAUUUUGUAAUUUUCUAUUGAUGCAAAACUGAAACAAAAUCUAUUUGAGAAUUAUUAAAAAGAGAAAGCUGCCCAUGUUAUAUAAUCCAUCAAUUACUGCCAACUCCAUUGAAUUAAAAAUAAUAAUAAUAAAAAAUAAACACUUGCAGCUGUAAGCCACAUCAUAAAAACAAAUCUCUUGAAAAACAAAUGAGAAGCACUACAUAAAAGAGCAAGAAAGAGGAGGCGCUAUGAAACAUCUGUGGGCAGAGCAAUACAAUUCUUUUACAGGAAUCCUGAGCCCACAACAGAAAUUCAACCAACCAUUUUACAAAUGCCAUCCCUGGAGAGAAAAAUAAAUUAAAAAAAAAAGGGAAAAGAAUUAAAUGUCAAACGCAACCAACUAUACCUGGUAUACAUCCCCUAGUCAAAAUCCUGUUAUGUACUUUGCUAAAUUACACUGGAGCUGUAUAUUGGUAAACCACCGAUUUCUAAAAGCAAGGAGUUACCCUCAUUAGGAGGCAAGCAAAGAAGAGGAGCUCAAGCAAAAAGGUUAUAUCAACGAUAAAAGCACACUACACAAGGGAGACCCCUCCCCCCUUUCCCACCAGCAUAAAAAGGGAAACAUAUAUCCUACAAAACCAAUUGACUACCCUACAUAUCAACUUUUUUUUUUUUUUUUAAUUCUUUCCGAGUUUUGGAUUGGUGGAGUUUGAAGCUGAUGAUUUGGGGUAAUGAGAGAGUAAACAAAACUUCUUAGAGGUAAAUUGGGGAAGGAAUUUGAGAAUUCGACGAGGAAUCGAGUUAUCAUUUGAUGCGUUAGAUAAGGAUUUGUCUUUUUCUUGUUUUUUUCCCCCCCUUGAUCUGGUUUGGUUCUAU
rnacentral:misc_RNA from 1 species